GCACAGCCUUGCUCCAUCCUGCACCCUCACAGUUUACACUAAUUGAAACCUUGCAAAAUCCUAUUCGUUACGCUCAUCGUGUGACGGACGGGCGGCCCGGCCCGCACGCAUGUACAAUAAUAAAGUUGAUUGACGCUGCGCUUUGCAGUGCCCAGCCGGCCGCCCUGCGUCCUACAUUCACGCGUGUCGGUCAGCGUCCCAGUUUCGUACACGUGUGUUUCAUCGUAUAUAAAGUCCUGUAUCUGACGCCAAUACAAUCCAGUUCACCAGCAGACGUCUUUGCUGAAGAUACCAAUCUUCGAGAUUGUGGGUACAAUUAUGCACCUCGUCUGAUUUUGGAUCAAUGAACAUACAUAAAACCAAACAACUACCUACCGGACUCCGCCGAAAGCAUACGCCUUGUUAUUAUACUUAACUGCUACAUACCCGAACGAUAACGAUAAUGGCUCGGUAGUCGGUAGGAAACGUUAUACUCGUAUUCCCCCCUCCCACCCAAUUCAUACUUUUGAUCACAAAUACGUGCUGCUCAUUCUUGUGGCACCAAAGAGAACGACAUCGGACGCUGCCUCUGAUUGUACCCGCCAACAGAAAGGUAACCGAGUAAGUAAAUCAAAAUUAUUUGCAUAGCGCCCCUUUCACCACCAACGAUACGUACCUAUCCCUCUCCACAUCCAAAAUAUGUCCUAGGAUAGAAUCCGUAGUACGGUCGACGGAUGUCACUCAUGUCCGUUGGCUGCAAAAAUCGUCCUACGUGCCAAAUCCCUUUGUUCGUCAGGACCCGCAUCCGUUUCCUUCAACGCUAUCCCGCUGUCCACUAGAGCCGUUUCACUCACUACUGAAGACUCCCUCAUUACCAUCGAAUUUAUUACUUCCCAACAAUGCCACAAAGAGAGAAUUUGUCUAUCUCAUCGAUCAAUAAAAAGCUGUGAACCCAUUUCUUUUUGUUUAGAUGCUCCCAUCUUGAACCUUACGCAACGUAAUGAAACCUCUGUUCAACACACAGCUCUUACACACUCCCGUGGUCUUUUCGACUCUAUUUCUAUGACCACAACCUCCAUUGGCACAUCUAUAAAAAACUACGUUAUCUCGUUUUUAGCCAUUCUGGCUGGUAUUUUUACCCUCUCUUUCGUAAUCACUCUUUUUAAACGUUAAUUUUCUUCAAACUUCCCCGUUAUCAUGUUUCGCUUCCGCCAGGCUCUUCAAGCCUGAUUAUAUACAAUGUACCACAGUGCGACCGUGCCACGCCCGGCCGGCGCCCCGAUACAUCUACAACUUCGAGGAUCUUCACAUUAUCAUGUAAGCGGAAGUGCAACAUGGUGAGGCCAAAAUUUUGCUCCCUUCUAAGCCUCACGUUUUUGAUUGUACAUUUUGGUUGCUUGUGUCACAUGAUGCUUAUUGUCACUUGAACGUCACACACCAUGGUUCAUAAAGAAGACACGGCCAAGUGCCGUCCACAUACCUAUAUGCAAAUAUGAUGGUAUGUACUUGUCUUGCUUGUCAAAUGUGUAUCCUUGUAUUACUUGUAAAUCGUAUGUACUUGUAUCGCUGGCCAAUUGUUCUUGUAUAUUUUGCUUCACUAUAGGUUGUAGAUUUGUCCAAACGUAAAAAGUCGGAUACAGGCAUUACCACUUCUUCCAAGUUCCCAACAUUUCACUACCUAACCAUUUAUCUCAACACCCCUCGAGUCACAAUAUAGGUUGUCAGCCGCUUUGCACAACGAUGUGUCAGUUAUGGUCACAGGUUUCCAUCUUCGCGUAUCCAUCUGGACAAGGGCCCAGUCCAGCCGCGAAGACCUGCACUGGUCGACAUCCGUCUGUUCCUGCCAUCGAGAUUCCCCUGUUGGUUCUCCAGCCACAUCAAGCAGCAGUCUUCUAACGCCGACGCCGUCUACACACCCGCCUCAUCAACACGGCACGGUGUACCGGUGGACUGAACUCUCUGCGCCACGUCACCACACUCGUGGCAGCGCCUUCCUGCAGGCAUCCGGCUACAACAUCACCUGACGUCGCCGUCACCUCUCUGGUGACCUCACUAUCACCAUCUCGGGCGAUAUCAGGAUACCAGCCAGCCGCCGCUGUACUCCAGCACCAAGCGCUGGCCACUCCAGAGGCGCACAUACGAGUACCUACGGUCCAUCUACAUUCUACGGCGUCCGAGAAUAUUUCUGCUGCACACCAUGAUGCCUGGCGAACCGAUGGGAUCUCUACCUGAUGCUGCUUUCGAUGUCGAUCUCCAACAAUGCAUACCUGUGCAUCAUACUAUCAUGUCUUGUUGCAAGUGUUCGUUGACGCCUCCUAUUGUCGGCUCCCGGGGAGGGUGAGAUAAUGUCGCACAGCCUUGCUCCAUCCUGCACCCUCACAGUUUACACUAAUUGAAACCUUGCAAAAUCCUAUUCGUUACGCUCAUCGUGUGACGGACGGGCGGCCCGGCCCGCACGCAUGUACAAUAAUAAAGUUGAUUGACGCUGCGCUUUGCAGUGCCCAGCCGGCCGCCCUGCGUCCUACAUUCACGCGUGUCGGUCAGCGUCCCAGUUUCGUACACGUGUGUUUCAUCGUAUAUAAAGUCCUGUAUCUGACGCCAAUACAAUCCAGUUCACCAGCA
rnacentral:lncRNA from 1 species